rnacentral:rRNA from 1 species
UACGUAGGGACCAAGCGUUGUUCGGAUUUACUGGGCGUAAAGGGCGCGUAGGCGGCCCUACAAGUCACUUGUGAAAUCUCCGGGCUUAACUCGGAAUGGCCAAGUGAAACUGUAAGGCUAGAGUGCAGAAGGGGCAAUCGGAAUUCUUGGUGUAGCGGUGAAAUGCGUAGAUAUCAAGAGGAACACCUGAGGUGAAGACGGGUUGCUGGGCUGACACUGACGCUGAGGCGCGAAAGCCAGGGGAGCAAACGGG